rnacentral:lncRNA from 1 species
GAAGUCUGAAAAGCAAUGUCUCCCAAACUGAAUUGGAUAUUAGGGCACGAUCAGACUAAGACUUUUGUGAAAUAUCACCAAGGGAGGAUUAGAUUGGAAUUGGAUUGGACAACAUGGACAAAGCUGUGCAGACAAAUCUGCAAAUUAGCAAAAGUGACCAGUGUGUGUGAUCUCAGCAUGCACAGCUAAUUCUGCAGGCACCAAAUAAAUUCAUCGCAAAUGUCCAAAGGAGUGUAUCACCAUGAGAGCAAGAUGUGGAGCCUGCCUCUUGAGCUGGCAUAAUUUUAUGGCUCACUAUUGAUGGAGCUUAUGGGUGGCCUGGAGCCAGCUCUCUGUGUUGCUGUGUGGAGGAGUCAGAGACAGAAUCUGCCCUCAUAAUUUCACCAGAGGUGCUCUUCAGCUGAGAUUCAGCCCUUCAUGGAGCCUGGAGGAUGGCAAACUCCUCUGCCACCCUGUCUGCUCUACAAAGGAUCCAAGCAAGCCAGACACAGCAUUCCAGCAUUCACUGUACAAUACUCAGCAAGCAGAAGGUCCUUGAGUUCAUAAUUCUCUGGUUUAGCAGAAAGGAAGAGACCAGCACUCAAGCACAAGUAGCCUGGAACAAAUGGCUGGUCAGCUGUGAGGAAAAUCUGAGAGAUUGA